GGCCGGCGGGUUUUUAUAUAAGUACACACUUUCACCCAGCACACCGGGAACCACAGGUUCACCACAACCCACAGAUUCCACCGACCAGGGCCCAGGCGGAGCUGCAGCGGUGCAGGCUCCAGGAAUACCUCAAACUCCCGCUGCCGGAGGUGAGUGGGGAAAGGGCGCAGAUUGCACCGCCGGAUGAGCUCCAGGGCCGUCGCAGCUCCCCGGCUCUGGCGAGGAGUUCAGUCGUGAUUCAGAGUAAAGGAAAUCCUUGCCCGGAAGAAAAGGAAAUUUGUCAAGUCUCAGGCUUUCCAAGUCAGGGUUUUCCAAAGUCCUCUACACUGUGCUAUGAGAAAAGGAGGCAUGACAAAGUGAAUACUGAUCCUCAAGCUUUGUCAAGAAGUAAAGACUCUCAGGCACACUCUUGAUCAUUAGGAGCACCAAGGUGAAACUGCAGCUACUCUAGCUGUGUACACUGCCUCAUGAUACUGCUGUGCACAGAACGAGCUGUAAUUGUACUACAGUGCUGCUUCCUUUCUCUCCCCUUCCAGUGCAUUCAUCCAGAAGGGUCCAUUUUGUCCCAUGUAAUCUCCAUGCAGGUUUGGAGGUGAGCCAAAAAGUCAUCCUUGUACUUCCUUAAAAAUGAAAAAUUAAUUAACGAGCCUAUCAAUACCAGAACAACUUCUGAGUCCAAAGCACUGCUUUGCAAUGCUGCAGCACACCAGUCUAAUGAGCAAAGCAUGAAAAUCCAUCAGGACGAUUAAGAGCAACUCAAAAAGAAGAAAAAACAAACAAACAAACAAAAAAGAGUAAUUAAAGUGAAAUGUGGCCG